UACGUAGGUGGCAAGCGUUGUCCGGAAUUAUUGGGCGUAAAGCGCGCGCAGGCGGUCCUUUAAGUCUGAUGUGAAAGCCCACGGCUCAACCGUGGAGGGUCAUUGGAAACUGGGGGACUUGAGUACAGAAGAGAAGAGUGGAAUUCCACGUGUAGCGGUGAAAUGCGUAGAGAUGUGGAGGAACACCAGUGGCGAAGGCGACUCUUUUGGUCUGUAACUGACGCUGAGGCGCGAAAGCGUGGGGAGCAAACAGG
rnacentral:rRNA from 1 species